rnacentral:rRNA from 1 species
UACGUAGGACGCAAGCGUUAUCCGGAGUUACUGGGCGUAAAGAGCGCGUAGGCGGUUUGUUAAGUCUGCUGUGAAAGCACCUGGCUAAACUGGGGGAGGCCGGCGGAUACUGGCAAGCUAGAGUGAGGCAGAGGCAGAUGGAAUUCCGCGUGUAGCGGUGAAAUGCGUAGAGAUGCGGAGGAACACCAGUGGCGAAGGCGGUCUGCUGGGUCUCAACUGACGCUGAGGCGCGAAAGCGUGGGGAGCGAACGGG